AACGAACGCUGGCGGCAGGCUUAACACAUGCAAGUCGAACGCCCCGCAAGGGGAGUGGCAGACGGGUGAGUAACGCGUGGGAAUCUACCCAAUUCUUCGGAACAACACAUGGAAACGUGUGCUAAUACCGGAUGAGCCCUUCGGGGGAAAGAUUUAUCGGAAUUGGAUGAGCCCGCGUUGGAUUAGCUAGUUGGUGGGGUAAAGGCCUACCAAGGCGACGAUCCAUAGCUGGUCUGAGAGGAUGAUCAGCCACACUGGGACUGAGACACGGCCCAGACUCCUACGGGAGGCAGCAGUGGGGAAUAUUGGACAAUGGGCGCAAGCCUGAUCCAGCCAUGCCGCGUGAGUGAUGAAGGUCUUAGGAUUGUAAAGCUCUUUCACCGGUGAAGAUAAUGACGGUAACCGGAGAAGAAGCCCCGGCUAACUUCGUGCCAGCAGCCGCGGUAAUACGAAGGGGGCUAGCGUUGUUCGGAUUUACUGGGCGUAAAGCGCACGUAGGCGGACUAUUAAGUCAGAGGUGAAAUCCCGGGGCUCAACCCCGGAACUGCCUUUGAUACUGGUAGUCUUGAGUUCGAGAGAGGUGAGUGGAAUUCCGAGU
rnacentral:rRNA from 1 species